CUGGCUCAGAACGAACGCUGGCGGCAUGCCUAAUACAUGCAAGUCGAACGGAGAUAGCAAUAUCUUAGUGGCGAACGGGUGCGUAACACGUGAGCAACCUGCCUUAUACAUCGGAAUAACAGCUGGAAACGGCUGCUAAUACCGGAUAAGACCACACCAAGGCAUCUUGGAGAGGUCAAAGCGAAUUAGCGGUAUAAGAUGGGCUCGCGUCCAAUUAGCUAGUUGGUGGGGUAACGGCCCACCAAGGCAACGAUUGGUAGCCGACUUGAGAGAGUGAUCGGCCACACUGGAACUGAGACACGGUCCAGACUCCUACGGGAGGCAGCAGUAGGGAAUAUUGGGCAAUGGAGGAAACUCCUUACCCAGCAAUGCCGCGUGAAUGAUGAAGGUCUUAUGGAUUGUAAAGUUCUUUAAUUGGGGACGAAAGAAAUGACGGUACCCAAAGAAUAAGCCCCGGCUAACUAUGUGCCAGCCGCUGC
rnacentral:rRNA from 1 species